rnacentral:rRNA from 1 species
GACGAACGCUGGCGGCGUGCUUAACACAUGCAAGUCGAACGAUGAAGCGGUGCUUGCACCGUGGAUUAGUGGCGAACGGGUGAGUAAUACGUGAGUGACCUACCUUUGACUCUGGGAUAAGCCUGGGAAACUGGGUCUAAUACCGGAUACGACCAAUCUCUGCAUGGGGUGUUGGUGGAAAGCGUUAUGGAGUGGUUUUAGAUGGGCUCACAGCCUAUCAGCUUGUUGGUGAGGUAAUGGCUUACCAAGGCGACGACGGGUAGCCGGCCUGAGAGGGUGACCGGCCACACUGGGACUGAGACACGGCCCAGACUCCUACGGGAGGCAGCAGUGGGGAAUAUUGCACAAUGGGCGCAAGCCUGAUGCAGCGACGCCGCGUGAGGGAUGACGGCCUUCGGGUUGUAAACCUCUGUUAGCAUCGAAGAAGCGAAAGUGACGGUAGGUGCAGAGAAAGCGCCGGCUAACUACGUG